rnacentral:snoRNA from 1 species
UUGCUGUGAUGAAAGUGACUCCAAAGCCAUUCGUAGUUUCCACCAGAAGUCGAAA